rnacentral:lncRNA from 1 species
GCCCCUUCUGACCAGGGUAUGUUUACUUCCUCACAGCCACUUUUACUUCUAGAGUUGUAGCCCCAAGAAGGAUGUCAAAUAAGGGAACGAAACACCCUCAAGAGAGAUACCUCCAAAGCUCACCUAUAGAUGUCAACCUCUGCCAGUCCUUUGGGAUGAGGUCAUGAAUGCCUUUCUCUAAUGGAAAGCUUUGCCUUCUGUAGUUCGUGAGUCAGUUGUGACAUGGACAGCAUAUAGUCCUUCAACCUCAGCCCGCUCACUGGUGGGAUAUGACCUAUUCGAUUCCGCUGCCUCAGAUAUAUGGGCUAUCACGAUCCUAAGUGCCUGCACACCUACCCACCCCUGACCUGCCUGCCCUGCUUAGGAUUAACUCAGUCUGGAAGGCUUA